rnacentral:rRNA from 1 species
AUGCUGACAUAAGUAACGAUAAUGCGGGUGAAAAACCCGCACGCCGGAAGACCAAGGGUUCCUGUCCAACGUUAAUCGGGGCAGGGUGAGUCGACCCCUAAGGCGAGGCCGAAAGGCGUAGUCGAUGGGAAACAGGUUAAUAUUCCUGUACUUGGUGUUACUGCGAAGGGGGGACGGAGAAGGCUAUGUUAGCCGGGCGACGGUUGUCCCGGUUUAAGCAUGUAGGCGGAGGUUCCAGGUAAAUCCGGUACCUUUUUAACGCUGAGGUGUGAUGACGAGGCACUACGGUGCUGAAGUAACAAAUGCCCUGCUUCCAGGAAAAGCCUCUAAGCAUCAGGUAACACGAAAUCGUACCCCAAACCGACACAGGUGGUCAG